AGCCUGCCAUCUUCAAGUCAAUGCGAGGGAACUUCUUUAGGGGAACCAUGUAAGGCAUCAUUAUCAACCUGGCUGGUGGAUAUUGUUGAUGAAUCUGUGAAAGCUGGUAUACACCGCCGAGUUGUUUGACAAGAGCACCCAUUAGAAGAUUCCUGCAACGAAAGCUUGCUACAAGCAGUGGCAUUGCAACUCUCAUUAAAAUCCUGAGCUCCUGGUCGAGUGCUGGUCACGGUGUUUCCACUUGUGCUUCUCAGUCUCAGCUGAGGGACAUCUAAUUAG